rnacentral:lncRNA from 1 species
GGGAAUAAAUGCAGGCUGCCUGAGUCAGCAGUGGCAACCUCCUCAGGUACUCUUCCAGGCUGUGGAAUCUUUGUUGUUUUGCUCUUAGCAAUAAAUCUUGCUGGUGCUCACUCUUUGGGUCCGUGCCGCCUUUAUGAGCUGUAACACUCACUGGGAAGGUCUGCAGCGAGACCACAAACCGGGAGGGAGGAACAACUCCAGACGUGCCGCCUUUAAGAGCUGUAACACUCCCUGAGAAGGUCUGCAGCUUCACUCCUGAAGCCAGUGAGACCACAAACCCACCGGAAGGAACAAACAACUCCAGACAUGCUGCCUUUGAGAGCUGUAACGCUCACUGCGAAGGUCUGCAGCUUCAGUCCUGAAGUCAGCGAGACCACUAACCCACCACAAGGAAGAAACUCCAGACACAUCUGAGCAUCUGAAGGAACAAACUCCGGACACACCAUGUUUAAGAACUGUAACACUCACCAUGAGGGUUGGCGGCUUCAUUCUGGACGUCAGCGAGACCAAGAACCCACCAAUUCCUGACACAGUAUGAAAUGGUUCCUUUGGGAGAGGAAAGGUCCUGUGAGGGUACAGUGAGAAGAUGGCCAUCUACCAGCCAGGAGGAAAGGCCUAACAAGAAACCAACUCUGCUGGCACCUUGAUCGUGAACUCCCGCCCUCUAGAACUGUGAGAAAAUAAACGUCUGUUUAAGCCACCUGGUCUGUGGUAUUUUGUUAUGGAAGCCCGAGCAGACCAAUAUGCCUACUAAGCUCUGUGACCUAGAAGGCUCCUCUUCUGUCUUUUUCCUCCUGGAAUGUGAGAAAAUCUGGCAAAGUGGGAGCCAGAGAGGCUAGGCCACUAAAAGCCUGUGUGCGAAAUGAUCUGUACACAGCGAAUUGACUCCACCUUUCACACAUUACUACUUAAAUCAUGAAAGGAGCAUUGCAAGGAGGAAGUAUUUUAACAGCAGAAGAAAACAUGCCUCCAAUGUCAAGAAAUUUCAGCACAAUUUUGUGCAGCCAGGACCAGAUGAAGGGAAAGGCCAAGCAAUAUGUUUUGAGGACUGAAUAUCUAUGCUUCCCCAAAUUCAUAUGUUGAAAUCCUAACUUCCGAUGUGAAGAUAUUUGUAGGUGGGGCUUUAAGAGAUAAUUAGGUCACAAGGGCAGAGCCCCCAUGAGUGGGAUUAGUGCUCUUAGAAAAGGGACCCAAGAGGGCUGUCUCUCUUGCCCUCUUUCCGCCAUAUGAGAAUCCAAUGAGAUGGCAUCAUCUGCAAAUCAGGAAGAGGAUGCUCACCAGACACCAGAUCUGCCAGCACCUUGAUCUUGGACUCCUCAGCCUCUAGAACUGUAAGAAAUAACGUUUGUUGUUUAAGCAACCCAGUCUAUGGCAACUUGUUAUAGCAGCCUGAACUAAGAUAAUCUAUAAGGUAAGGCAAAUAAGAAAAAAAUCCAAACCCAAAAUGACUUUAAGCGACUCCUAGAGGAACCCUGCCAACAUCACUAAGUUCAGAGAGGUAAAAUCAGGCAACAAGCAGAAUUAUCUUCGGGGGUCCAUAAAAAUUUCCAGGUCUGGUCGCAACUGUCAUAUCUUG